CUAUGGAACAUCCGAAGAGGCGCUCACAUGCUCUUACCGGAGAAGUGAAUUUUGCCCAGGAGGAUGAUAAACGAUUAGAGACAACUAGAGCAAGAUUGUCUAAUGUUCUUAAAAGGCAUCAAGCAUUGACUGAGCGUCUUCAAAGGUAUACUAUAA